rnacentral:rRNA from 1 species
GAACGCUAGCGAUAGGCUUAACCACAUGCAAGUCGAGGGGCAGCACGGGAUAGCUUGCUAUCUGGGUGGCGACCGGCGCACGGGUGCGUAACGCGUAUGCAACUUGCCCUAUACAGGAGGAUAACCCGUCGAAAGACGGACUAAUACUGCGUAUGCUCACAACUUGGCAUCAAGUAGUGAGGAAAGAAAUUCGGUAUAGGAUAGGCAUGCGUCCCAUUAGCUUGUUGGUGAGGUAACGGCUCACCAAGGCCACGAUGGGUAGGGGAACUGAGAGGUUUAUCCCCCACACUGGUACUGAGACACGGGCCAGACUCCUACGGGAGGCAGCAGUGAGGAAUAUUGGUCAAUGGGCGAGAGCCUGAACUAGCCAAGUCGCGUGAAGGAUGACUGUCUUAUGGAUUGUAAACUUCUUUUAUACGGGAAUAACAAGAGUCACGUGUGACUCCCUGCAUGUACCGUAUGAAUAAGCAUCGGCUAACUCCGUGCCAGCAGCCGCGGUAAUACGGAGGAUGCGAGCGUUAUCCGGAUUUAUUGGGUUUAAAGGGUGCGUAGGCGGUUUGUUAAGUCAGCGGUGAAAUCUAGAGGCUCAACCUCGAAACUGCCGUUGAAACUGGCGAACUUGAGUGUAGAUGAGGUAGGCGGAAUUCGUGGUGUAGCGGUGAAAUGCAUAGAUAUCACGAGGAACUCCGAUUGCGAAGGCAGCUUACUAAGGUACAACUGACGCUGAAGCACGAAAGCGUGGGUAUCAAACAGGAUUAGAUACCCUGGUAGUCCACGCAGUAAACGAUGAUAACUGGGCGUAUGCGAUAUACAGUAUGCUCCUAAGCGAAAGCGUUAAGUUAUCCACCUGGGGAGUACGCCGGCAACGGG